AUCUAAACACCAAUUAUUUUUUGGUGUCUCUUUAAACCAAACAGGUGGGAGUCAUGUAAAUCACAUUUGGUGCACCUAGAUGUGCAGGUUUGUUUGUGCUCUCACCCGCUUCUCUUCUUUCUACAGCUUCUGUCAUGUGUUUGUGCAGCCAUGAUUCUUCGUCGUCAUCUCAUGGUCUGGAAAGUGUUUGCACCAAAGUAAGUUCACAUUACUUGACUGCUCCCUAGCGCCUCUGUGGUAAGCCAAGUGUGUAGUGGUCUGUAAAAUAUGUUCCUGAUAAACUCAAUCUUAUAUGAUACAUGAAUAUGGUUUACAGUAGGUUAUUUUUAUUGAACUUUUUUUCUUCAUUUAUAAUUUAAUUUACUCUUGCUUACAAAUAUUCUAUAUAUUUGAUCUUCGUUUUCUCGUAUACCUAGGUUCCUUUUUGAGGCUCUGGGAUUCACAGUUAGCAGCAUUUUCCUUUGCCUUGGCAUUGCCCUAGUAUUGCGGGUGGACUGUGCUGUCAGCAAGUGGUUCAAAAACCUCAUCCUCCACCAUCCCAGGUAGCACUAACACAGAGUGAGGUGGUGGAAUCAGAGUCCACGAGUGACAGAAGAAUGCGAGACUGCCAGGAAUUCACGUAGUGCCUGAAUACCUUCUCUGUGAUUAACGAUGGACACCAUCCAUGGACAUUGGAGUUAAAGUGGAAGAAGAUGCAUCUACAGUUCUUUGUACAUUUCCAUGUCUGACAUCAUUCAGAUAUAUAUUAUGUCUGUGUCUGAGACCUCAGCUGCAUUUUUUUAUGUCAUAUUUCAGUGACCUGUGACCAUUUGUCACAGACCACAGCCAUACAGGACAAUAUUUCCAUGUUUCAUACAUCUCAGACCUGUGAAGACCUAGUUUAGUAUAUCUCCAAUUUAUGAUCAUUGUCGUGUUACUGUAAAAACUCAUAGACCUACUGCCAAGAGAAGGGCUACAUUUUACAGAAUUUUAUUUAUAAAAGCAUAUUUUUUUGGGAUAUCAUGGUCAUUAGGCGUGUGAAUACAUUUUUAACAAAUGUGUCUGAACACGGAUGGGCAGCUAUAAAAGUACUAAUCCACAAAAGCUAAUGAAGUACCACAUGGCCAUGGUCCACAUUCACCAACUCCUCAAGUUUAAAGAGAUUAAAUUUAUCAGUUCCAAAACUGAUAUAUUAAAAAGAAUGCUAUUUGGCUUUAUUUUUGAAGGGGUUUUUACAUUAUUUACAUGCAAACAAUGAGUUCAUAUUCUCCUGAUUUAGCUAUUGCAAUAGGCCUUUUCUCUGAUGAAUUUGUUAAAGGGACAGUGGAAGUUAAAUGCAAGAGAGUAUCUCAUCAUCUUGUUUUAGUUAUUUUUUUUUCUUUUCUUGAUGCACCUGCAUCUUAACUACAGUAUUGUGUCAAGUAAAGAAGAAAAUGUUGCUGUGUAUUUCCUAAAAAAAAAUAUUCCUUGAUGUGAUACAUUUGUGCAGCUUUCGCCAACAUUUCUAAGUAGUUUUCAUGUACUUUUAAAAAAAAAACUACAGCAUCCAAUAUGUGCGAGUAACUUGAUUUGUUGAAACAAGUGACUUUUCUGGUCACACUUCUAUAGAAUGCGAAGAGCUGUGCCAUUUAUCCUAUAACACCUCUUUAUGGCAAAGAGAUGCCAUUUAAAACAGUGUCUUUGGGCCCAUGUUACGGAAAUGGGGGCAUUCAGAGAUAAAUGUCUUUGUUGAAAUUAUUUUUAUACUCUGGCAGUGCACAAACAUACAUCAUGUAUUUAUUUAAGUUCUUCUAUAGUACUCUUAUCCAGAGAGUUUAGUAAAUGUGGUAAUUGUCAAGUGAUCUAUAAUUAGUAAUAUUGGAAUAAAAGGAAUCCCUGG